UACGUAGGGUCCGAGCGUUGUCCGGAAUUACUGGGCGUAAAGAGCUCGUAGGUGGUUUGUCGCGUUGUUCGUGAAAACUCACAGCUCAACUGUGGGCGUGCGGGCGAUACGGGCAGACUAGAGUACUGCAGGGGAGACUGGAAUUCCUGGUGUAGCGGUGGAAUGCGCAGAUAUCAGGAGGAACACCGAUGGCGAAGGCAGGUCUCUGGGCAGAUACUGACGCUGAGGAGCGAAAGCGUGGGGAGCGAACAGG
rnacentral:rRNA from 1 species